rnacentral:rRNA from 1 species
UACAGAGGUCUCAAGCGUUGUUCGGAUUCAUUGGGCGUAAAGGGUGCGUAGGUGGCGAGGUUAGUCAGGUGUGAAAUCUCGGGGCUCAACCCCGAAACUGCACUUGAUACUGCCUUGCUAGAGUACUGGAGAGGAGAUUGGAAUUUACGGCGUAGCAGUGAAAUGCGUAGAUAUCGUAAGGAAGACCAGUGGCGAAGGCGAAUCUCUGGACAGUUACUGACACUGAGGCACGAAGGCCAGGGGAGCAAACGGG